AGAGUUUGAUCCUGGCUCAGGAUGAACGCUAGCGACAGGCCUAACACAUGCAAGUCGAGGGGCAGCGGAGAGGUAGCAAUACCUUUGCCGGCGACCGGCGCACGGGUGAGUAACACGUAUGCAAUCCACCUGUAACAGGGGGAUAACCCGGAGAAAUCCGGACUAAUACCCCAUAAUAUGGGUUCUCCGCAUGGAGGGUCCAUUAAAGAGAGCAAUUUUGGUUACAGACGAGCAUGCGCUCCAUUAGCCAGUUGGCGGGGUAACGGCCCACCAAAGCGACGAUGGAUAGGGGUUCUGAGAGGAAGGUCCCCCACAUUGGAACUGAGACACGGUCCAAACUCCUACGGGAGGCAGCAGUGAGGAAUAUUGGUCAAUGGUCGGCAGACUGAACCAGCCAAGUCGCGUGAGGGAAGACGGCCCUACGGGUUGUAAACCUCUUUUGUCGGAGAGUAAAGUACGCUACGUGUAGCGUAUUGCAAGUAUCCGAAGAAAAAGCAUCGGCUAACUCCGUGCCAGCAGCCGCGGUAAUACGGAGGAUGCAAGCGUUAUCCGGAUUUAUUGGGUUUAAAGGGUGCGUAGGCGGCACGCCAAGUCAGCGGUGAAAUUUCCGGGCUCAACCCGGACUGUGCCGUUGAAACUGGCGAGCUAGAGUGCACAAGAGGCAGGCGGAAUGCGUGGUGUAGCGGUGAAAUGCAUAGAUAUCACGCAGAACCCCGAUUGCGAAGGCAGCCUGCUAGGGUGCGACAGACGCUGAGGCACGAAAGCGUGGGUAUCGAACAGGAUUAGAUACCCUGGUAGUCCACGCAGUAAACGAUGAAUACUAACUGUUUGCGAUACAAUGUAAGCGGUACAGCGAAAGCGUUAAGUAUUCCACCUGGGGAGUACGCCGGCAACGGUGAAACUCAAAGGAAUUGACGGGGGCCC
rnacentral:rRNA from 1 species